AUCUUAGUGGCGGACGGGUGAGUAACGCGUGGGUAAUCUACCUUUUAGUGGGGAAUAACAGUUGGAAACGACUGCUAAUACCGCAUAAGCUGCUUAGGCAGGAAAGAUGGCCUCUGAGUAUGCUGUCGCUAAAAGAUGAGCCCGCGUCUGAUUAGCUAGUUGGCAGGGUAAAGGCCUACCAAGGCGACGAUCAGUAGCCGGCCUGAGAGGGUGAACGGCCACACUGGGACUGAGACACGGCCCAGACUCCUACGGGAGGCAGCAGUGGGGAAUAUUGCGCAAUGGGGGAAACCCUGACGCAGCGACGCCGCGUGAGCGAAGAAGGCCUUAGGGUUGUAAAGCUCUGUUUUAAGGGACGAAUGUGCAGCCGAGUAAUAUGCGGUUGCAAUGACGGUACCUUAAGAGGAAGCCCCGGCUAACUACGUGCCAGCAGCCGCGGUAAGACGUAGGGGGCGAGCGUUGUCCGGAAUUACUGGGCGUAAAGAGCACGUAGGCGGAGACUUAAGUCAGGUGUGAAAGACCGGGGCUCAACCCCGGGGUUGCACUUGAAACUGGGUUUCUUGAGGGCAGGAGAGGAAAGCAGAAUUCCUGGUGUAGCGGUGAAAUGCGUAGAAAUCAGGAGGAAUACCAGUGGCGAAGGCGGCUUUCUGGACUGACCCUGACGCUGAGGUGCGAAAGCGUGGGUAGCAAACAGGAUUAGAUACCCUGGUAGUCCACGCCGUA
rnacentral:rRNA from 1 species